GAUGAACGUUAGCGGGAGGCUUAAUACAUGCAAGUCGAGCGGUAAGUUUUUAUAGCAAUAUGAAGACCUAGAGCGGCGCACGGGUGAGUAACGCGUACAUGACCUGCCCUAUACUGGGGGAUAGUCUUGGGAAACUGAGAAUAAUCCCGCAUGUGAUUAGAAUGCUGCAUGGCAAAUUAAUUAAAGCUGAGGCGGUAUAGGAUGGGUGUGCGUCUGAUUAGCUAGUUGGUAGUGUAAAGGCCCACCAAGGCGACGAUGGGUAGCUGGUCUGAGAGGAUGGUCAGCCACACUGGGACUGAGAUACGGCCCAGACUCCUACGGGAGGCAGCAGUGGGGGAAUCUUGGGACAAUGGGCGCAAGCCUGACCCAGCCAUGCCGCGUGAGUGACGAAGGCCUUAGGGUUGUAAAGCUCUUUUCGGCGGGGACGAUAAUGACGGUACCCGCAGAAUAAGCCCCGGCUAACUUCGUGCCAGCAGCCGCGGU
rnacentral:rRNA from 1 species